UACGUAGGGGGCAAGCGUUGUCCGGAAUCAUUGGGCGUAAAGCGCACGUAGGCGGAUUGCUAAGUCAGGGGUGAAAUCCUGGAGCUCAACUCCAGAACUGCCUUUGAUACUGGCGACCUUGAGUCCGGGAGAGGUGAGUGGAACUGCGAGUGUAGAGGUGAAAUUCGUAGAUAUUCGGAAGAACACCAGUGGCGAAGGCGACACACUGGCUCACUACUGACGCUGAGGCGCGAAAGCGUGGGGAGCAAACAGG
rnacentral:rRNA from 1 species